AUUGAACGCUGGCGGCAGGCCUAACACAUGCAAGUCGAGCGGAUGAAGGGAGCUUGCUCCUGGAUUCAGCGGCGGACGGGUGAGUAAUGCCUAGGAAUCUGCCUGGUAGUGGGGGAUAACGUCCGGAAACGGGCGCUAAUACCGCAUACGUCCUGAGGGAGAAAGUGGGGGAUCUUCGGACCUCACGCUAUCAGAUGAGCCUAGGUCGGAUUAGCUAGUUGGUGGGGUAAAGGCCUACCAAGGCGACGAUCCGUAACUGGUCUGAGAGGAUGAUCAGUCACACUGGAACUGAGACACGGUCCAGACUCCUACGGGAGGCAGCAGUGGGGAAUAUUGGACAAUGGGCGAAAGCCUGAUCCAGCCAUGCCGCGUGUGUGAAGACGGUCUUCGGAUUGUAAAGCACUUUAAGUUGGGAGGAAGGGCAGUAAGUUAAUACCUUGCUGUUUUGACGUUACCAACAGAAUAAGCACCGGCUAACUUCGUG
rnacentral:rRNA from 1 species